CCUGGCGGCACUAGCGCGGUGGUCCCACCUGACCCCAUGCCGAACUCAGAAGUGAAACGCCGUAGCGCCGAUGGUAGUGUGGGGUCUCCCCAUGCGAGAGUAGGGAA
rnacentral:rRNA from 2 species